UCCCUGGAGGACUAGUGGUUAGGCCACAGUGCUCUCACCGCUGUAGCCUGGGUUUGAUUCCCAGCCAGGGAA
rnacentral:tRNA from 1 species